UGUUGAAUUGCUAUGUCAUAUGGUAAUCUAGUGUUUAGCAUUUUGAGAAACUACCAAACUGCUUUCCAGAGUUGCUAUACUUUUUUACAUUUCCUCCAGCAAU
rnacentral:pre_miRNA from 1 species